rnacentral:lncRNA from 1 species
UGGAGAUGGGGUCUUUAAAGAGAUGAUUCAGGUAAAAUGAAGCCCUUAGGGUGGGCCCUGAUUCAAUACUGCUGUCCAGGUAAUAGGAGAUGAGGGCACAGGCCCACACAAAGGGAUGACCAUGUGAAGGCACAAGGAGAAGACGCCACCUGCAAGCCAAGGAGAGGCCCCAGGAGAAACCAACUCUGCCGACACCCAGACCUGACUUCCAGCCUCCAGAAUGGUGGUGAAACUGAAGCACAGAGUGGUGAUCCUAGAGGCCACCCCGGCUGUGAGGGCGUCUGCAUCAGAGCCCCGAGCUCACCGAGUCCUCCAUCAGAUAGGGCUUCACACCGAGCACGAGGCUGCCUAAACUUUUGCUGCACCUCCAGAUAUUAUCGAGUGGGAGCAGGACGGGCAGAUCUUUUCCAGAUAAGUAAACCUACCUAUUGGGUGGGGGUCCCCAAAGUCCUGUCCUGGAGUGGUUUCGGCAAAAAGAAUUUGGAGUUGAGCACCCUAGGCGAUGAGGGAGCACAGGUCUGAUUGGGGCAUGAGAAAGGUGGUGAGGACGUGCUGAGAGGAGAGGACUUGAUCUCCGUGAGGAGGGCCUGGGGUACAGACUGCAUGGGGAUGCGGGGUGGAGUCCACAGAGAGGCUUCUGGAAGUGAAGGUGAGGUGGUGGCCGGAAGCCCAGGCCCUGGAGCACAAGGUGUCACCUGUCUCACCACCAACUGUCACUGAGGGGAGGAGGGUGGCAGAGGAGUCGUGGUCGGCUCUCAGCCAUGGAACUCCCCCUGCAAGAGACCCAGGCUCAGGCUUCCCAGGGCUCAGGUUGCUGCUAGUUGAAGCCUCUUCCUGGGAAUCCAACCCUCACAGGUUUUGAUUUUCACGCCUGGUUAAAGCUGUUGGCUCCUUUGGCAAGUCAGAGGCGGGAGUGGGGGUGAUGGGACAGGUUAGGGAGUAGAUGGUGUACUGACUCCAGGCCAGUGCCUCCCUCCACUGUCCUUUCCACGGAGCUGGGCAAUGCACCAGGAUAGGACUGGGCCUCAGGUGGAUGGUCCAGGGAGCAGAGGCUUCUGGUGCUUAGUAGCACAUCCCAGAACUUCUCCCAGAACUGCCACCAGAUACAACAUGUCCCCAGCUCCCGGGGAACUCAGCAGGAAGCCUUGCGGGUGUGCCAGCCCUCUGGCUUCUACCCUCUGCCUUCAGUGAGCUUUUGUCUGUUUGCUGGGGGCUCAGGGCAAUCACAGCACAUACAUACGCAC